AGACAACACCGUCAUCAGGUACCACUUCAUUAGACAACACCGUCAUCAGGUACCACUUCAUUAGACAACACCGUCAUCAGGUACCACUUCAUUAGACAACAC